GGUGAAUUUUCCGCAAUGGGCGCAAGCCUGACGGAGCAAUACCGCGUGAGGGAGGAAGGCUCUUGGGUCGUAAACCUCUUUUAUCAGGGAAGAACACAAUGACGGUACCUGAUGAAUCAGCAUCGGCUAACUCUGUGCCAGCAGCCGCGGUAAUACAGAGGAUGCAAGCGUUAUCCGGAAUUAUUGGGCGUAAAGCGUCCGCAGGUGGUUAUGAAAGUUUGCUGUCAAAGCGCGAGGCUCAACUUCGUAACGGCGGUGAAAACUUCAAGACUAGAGCUAGGUAGGGGUCACGGGAAUUCCCAGUGUAGCGGUGAAAUGCGUAGAUAUUGGGAAGAACACCAGCGGCGAAAGCGCGUGACUGGGCCUGAGCUGACACUCAUGGACGAAAGCUAGGGGAGCGAAAGGGAUUAGAUACCCCUGUAGUCCUAGCCGUAAACGAUGACAACUAGGUGUUGCCCGUAUCGACCCGGGCAGUGCCGUAGCCAACGCGUUAAGUUGUC
rnacentral:rRNA from 1 species